CUUUUACGGCGGUUAAUCUCAUUCUAAAUGAGCGUCUUUCGCCACCUCCUUUCACUGCCCACAACGGAAGUUUGCUACCGCCUCAGGUACAUUCUUUCCGUUGUCAGAAAUGAUCAUCACUAGUACAUCGAAUCUGCAAGUUUUUGCAGAUGUCUAUCGCCCCUAUUCUUACCAAUGCUACUGCUUCCACCCAUUUAGUGAAGUAGUAAGUUGCAGCUAACAAAUACUUGACGCCCCCCAGUGCAGCUGGAAACGAACCUACAAUAUCCAAUCCUCACUUGUUGAACGUCCACGGUCUCACAACCAGAUGCAACUCAUUCGCUGGUCUCUUUAUAAGAGGGCCAUGCAGCUGAAAAGCCAAGCAUUUUCUUAUAUAGUCCCUGCGUCACUCUGCAUAUAAGGCCAGAAGUGCUAUUGAGAUAAAAGCCUAUGCGCUAGACUCCUGCCUUCAGAAUGAUCCUCACAGCACCCUUCAUGUGCCUCAGCGAAGAAUUGCUUCCCUCCCUCUCUAGUAACACAAGGAAGAUGAAUUUGUGGACGUGUUUACCGCCUCCAUCCUCAACAAAGCUACUACCUGAAGCCAUUUGGUGAUGCAGUCAAUUGCAUCUAGCAAGUAGUGCACGCCCCCAGGUGCAGUGCAGUCUUUAGUCCAGAGACUAUUGCUUCAUACUCCGAUUGAUUAUUUAAAGCUGUAAAUCUUAGUUGGACAGCUUUUUCUCCUGGGAAACUAGUACACAACCAACGCUUGUACCAUCCGUGUUUGC